rnacentral:rRNA from 1 species
GCGCCCUGUGUGUUCAGCCUUCGGGUGCAUUGGCNCAGGUGCUUAUCCGCUGUGAGUUUUCGGGGGUCGAUUUUGGACCCCUGGGGACUGAGGGCUCCCCUUUUGGGUGAGGACAGCGGAGUGACGACGCGAUACGACCCGUCUUGAAACACGGACCAAGGAGUCUAGCGCGGGUGCGAGUCGGAGGGUGCAAGCCCGUGGGCGAAGUGAAAGCGAGUGUAAAAACGAGCAGUUUGGGGCGGCAUAAGAUCGUUGAUCUUAAGACCGACCCAGAGCAGUUGCGCUGGGACCCGAAAGAUGGUGAACUAUGCCGGAGUAGGGCAAAGCCAGAGGAAACUCUGGUGGAGGCUCGUAGCGGUGCUGACGUGCAAAUCGCUCGUCGAACUUGGGUAUAGGGGCGAAAGACUAAUCGAACCAUCUAGUAGCUGGUUCCCUCCGAAGUUUCUCUCAGGAUAGCGGGCCGACAAGUUGUUUUGUGCGGUAAAGCGAAUGAUUAGCGCAAUCGGGGGCGUUUAGCCUUUGGGCGAUUCUCAAACUUUCAAUGCGCAAGGGUGCCGCUGCUUAAUUGAGCGGUACCGGUAAAAACGUCGGCCCUGUGGGCCACUUUUGGUAAGCAGAACUGGCGAUACGGGAUGAACCGUAAGCAAGGUUAAGGCGCCAAACUGCCCGCUUAUAGACCCCACAAAAGGUGUUGAUUCAUCGAGACAGCAGGACGGUGGCCAUGGAAGUCGGCAAUCCGCUAAGGAGUGUGUAACAACUCACCUCGCCGAAUGAAUU